AUUGAACGCUGGCGGCAGGCCUAACACAUGCAAGUCGAACGAGUGGCGGACGGGUGAGUAAUGUCUGGGAAACUGCCUGAUGGAUGGGGAUAACUACUGGAAACGGUAGCUAAUACCGCAUACCAUCGGAUGUGCCCAGAUGGGAUUAGCUAGUAGGUGGGGUAACGGCUCACCUAGGCGACGAUCCCUAGCUGGUCUGAGAGGAUGACCAGCCACACUGGAACUGAGACACGGGCCAGACGCCUACGGGAGGCAGCAGUGGGGAAUAUUGGACAAUGGGCGCAAGCCUGAUGCAGCCAUGCCGCGUGUAUGAAGAAGGCCUUCGGUUUGUAAAGUACUUUCAGCUGGGAGGCGUUACCAGCAGAAGAAGCACCGGCUAACUCCGUGCCAGCAGCCGCGGUAAUUC
rnacentral:rRNA from 1 species